rnacentral:rRNA from 1 species
CCUACGGGUGACAGCAGUGGGGAAUAUUGCACAAUGGGGGGAACCCUGAUGCAGCGACGCCGCGUGAGUGAAGAAGUAUUUCGGUAUGUAAAGCUCUAUCAGCAGGGAAGAAAAUGACGGUACCUGACUAAGAAGCCCCGGCUAACUACGUGCCAGCAGCCGCGGUAAUACGUCGGGGGCAAGCGUUAUCCGGAUUUACUGGGUUGAAAGGGGGCGUAGACGGUUAUGCAAGUCUGAAGUGAAAACCCAAGGCUCAACCAUGGAACUGCUUUUGAAACUGGCAAACUAGAGUACGGGAGAGGUAAGAGGAAUUCCUAGUGUAGCGGUGAAAUGCGUAGAUAUUAGGCGGAACACCAGUGGCGAAGGCGUCUUACUGGACCGAAACUGACGUUGAGGCUCGAAAGCGUGGGGAGCAAACAGGAUUAGAUACCCGAGUAGUC